GGGCCGCUGUCCCUGUCCAGCCUCCUGGAGACCCUCGACACCUUCGACCUGGGGGGGGGCGAGGGCGAGGAGCCCGGGGGGGGUCCGGGCGGGGUCGGGGGGUCCCCCCAGAGCCCCCCGGACCCCCCGCCCCCCCCACGCCGCUCCGACAGCCUGGAGGAGCUGCUGGCCCAGGUGGGUGCUGGGGGGGAGGGGGUUUUGGGGUGGGGGUCUCUGUGCCCCCCCGCCUUGCUCAGUGCCCCACCCCCACCCUCAGGAGGAGGUGAAGACCCCCCCGGAGCCCCCCCCGGAGCCCCCCCAGGAGGUUUGGGCUGAGCUGGUCGAUGCUGCCACCCCCGUGCCGGACUUCGAGCAGCUGCUGCCCGAGCCCGCCCACAAGUGGCCGUUCUGCCCAGACCCGUUCCAGCAGCG
rnacentral:lncRNA from 1 species